CCAGUCUUAGUUCAUCGGUAGAAUAGGCCUUUUGGGAAGGUCGGGUAACUGGUUCAAUUCCAGUAGACUGGA
rnacentral:tRNA from 2 species